AUGGAGAGAGGCAAAGAGGGGGAUGGAGGAGAGGGGAUGGAGGAAAGGCGGAGAGGGGAUGGAGGAGAGGGGGAUGGAGGAGAGGGGGAUGGAGGAAAGGCGGAGAGGGGGAUGGAGGAGAGGCGAAGAGGGGGAUGGAGGAGAGGGGGAUGGAGGAAAGGCGGAGGGGGGAUGGAGGAGAGGCGAAGAGGGGGAUGGAGGAGAGGGGGAUGGGGGAGAGGGGGAUGGAGGAAAGGCGGAGAGGGGGAUGGAGGAGAGGCGAAGAGGGGGAUGGAGGAGAGGGGGAUGGAGGAGAGGGGGAUGGAGGAAAGGCGGAGAGGGGGAUGGAGGAGAGGGGAUGGAGGAGAGGGGGAUGGAGGAAAGGCGGAGAGGGGGAUGGAGGAGAGGGGGAUGGAGGAGAGGGGGAUGGAGGAGAGGCGAAGAGGGGGAUGGAGGAGAGGGGGAUGGAGGAGAGGCGAAGAGGGGGAUGGAGGAGAGGGGGAUGGAGGAGAGGGGGAUGGAGGAGAGGCGAAGAGGGGGAUGGAGGAGAGGGGGGGUGGAGGAGAGGCGGAGAGGGGGAUGGAGGAGAGGGGGGUGGAGGAGAGGUUGAGAGGGGGAUGGAGGAGAGGCGGAGAGGGGGGAUGGAGGAGAGGGGAUGGAGGAGAGGGGGAUGGAGGUGAGAAGGAGAGGGGGAUGGAGGAGAGGUGGAGAGGGGGAUGGAGGAGAGGCGGAGAGGGGAUGGAGGAGAGGCGAAGAGGGGGAUGGAGGAGAGGGGGAUGGAGGAGAGGGGAUGGAGGAAAGGCGGAGAGGGGGAUGGAGGAGAGGGGGAUGGAGGAAAGGCGGAGAGGGGGAUGGAGGAGAGGGGAUAGAGGAGAGGGGAUGGAGGAGGGGGAUGGAGGAGAGGCGAAGAGGGGGAUGGAGGAGAGGGGGAUGGAGGAGAGGCGAAGAGGGGGAUGGAGGAGAGGGGGAUGGAGGAGAGGGGGAUGGAGGAGAGGGGGAUGGAGGAGAGGCGAAGAGGGGGAUGGAGGAGAGGGGGGGGGUGGAGGAGAGGCAGAGAGGGGGAUGGAGGAGAGGUUGAGAGGGGGAUGGAGGAGAGGCGGAUGGAGGAGAGGGGGAUGGAGGAGAGGGGGAUGGAGGUGA
rnacentral:lncRNA from 1 species